UCUCUUUUUUUGCCUCUGGAUUGACUGUAUAAUGGGUAGGUUUUAUAGGAGUAAUCUUAACGCAUGAUGGGGCAAAAAUUAUAGAAUUCUGGGUUCCUCACAGUUUGUGGAGCUACAAACAGCCCCAGGCUAUCGAUCUGCAGCCCCAGGCUAUCCAUCUGCAGACGUUUUCAAUGAAAGAAUAAAAUGUUUUAAGCCGGAGAGGAGGGGCAAAACGGCGGAAGAGUGGGGUCCCCGAGUCACCUGUCCCCACCAAAUUACCUAGAUAACCUUCAACUCAUCCUGAAAAUCUACGAAUUCGGCCUGAGAUUUAAAGAGAGAACAGCUGGAAUGCUACAGUGAGAAGAGUUCGCGCUUCCAUCAGAUAAAAAAGAUUAAAUAACCUGUUCGAGGUUCCAUGUCUGCUGAGUGGUGGAGCCAGGCUUCCGAUCCAGAAUUCUAUAUCCUCCCAAGAACAAUGGGAUGCAUUAAAGGAUUUUAAAAAGAGGAGAGACAUCAUCCAUUCUGUCUGUAGGAAAUUGCUCUAUCCAGAAUGUGAAGAAGGAAUCUGGUAAGAGCAGGUUCUGUCUCCGUGGUGGAACCCUGACUGAUACAGACACAUCGUGAGAAAGAAUAGGGACACACUGGAACCCACAAGGACAAAGGAGAGCCUGUCUUAAUCUCUAACCACCUCCACCUCCACCUCCAAACCUCCACUCUGAUGCUGCUGCUGACCUCCACCCUGAUGCUGGUGCGUAGGAAAAGCUGGCACCCUCUGUUGUGGAGCUAGCAUGCACUUCGUUCAGGAGCUAGAGAAGCAGCAGGAUCUAGCCGGAACUGCUACAGACCUAGUUGCUUUGUCAUGCUGACAAGGGUUGGUGUGGGAUUGGACACGGAGCCGGGGUGCGUGGAUAUGCUGACAGACGCCCUGGCGACCCCCAGUUAAGGAGGAAUUGGAGGGCAGAGGAUGCAUCUGGGAACAAAAGGUCCCAGCACGACAGACUGCCCCGCGGUCCCCGCGUCUCGGAACCCUCCCCGCAGCGCUCCCCACCUCUCUUUUCAUUUGAAACGUGGCAGUGGCACGUGCGAAGGCCGGACCGAACGGCAGCCCCGAAAGCCGAGGGCCAGCGACGCCCGAGCCGUCCGAGAAGGCGGGAGACUCCGGGCCGGAG